CACACACACACACACACACACACACACACACACACCCUUAUCUGUAGCCCUCUGAGCCUAGAACCUGGCAUACACACACCAAGUAUGCAAACAGACAAUACACAGAACCCCCCCUAUGGAAACACAAAGUGUCCACACAACACAAACUGCCCUGCCCCUCCCUCUGCCAGCCCACACACUGCUCUGCUCACACAGAGCACUCCUGAAAGACCAGGAUGGCACCCUGCCAUGCCAACAGCAUGACCUGAAUCUACAACAGAGAUGGCACAUUGUGGAGACACAUGGCAACAGUCCAUCAUUUAGUAUUGUUGUUGUAUUUCAUUUCAUUGCUUACUCAGGUCUGAGUCUGGCAUUGCUGCCAUUGUUGCUGUAGGUGGUUGCUAACUGGUCUAUUGUUGUUGUAGGUGGUUGCUAACUGGUCCAUUGUUGCUGUAGGUGGUUGCUAACUGGUCCAUUGUUGCUGUAGGCGGUUGCUAACUGGUCUAUUGUUGUUGUAGGUGGUUGCUAACUGGUCCAUUGUUGCUGUAGGUGGUUGCUAACUGGUCCAUUGUUGCUGUAGGUGGUUGCUAACUGGUCCAUUGUUGCUGUAGGUGGUUGCUAACUGGUCCAUUGUUGUUGUAGGUGGUUGCUAACUGGUCCAUUGACUCUGAUAUGUGAUUGCCCGUGACAUGGGGCGAGGUCAGCACAUGGGUAGGUGGACAUUCACAGAGUUAAACUAGAUAGCAAAGCAGUGCAGAACUAAAUUUAAAGACCAAUACGAG
ensembl:lncRNA